GAUGAACGCUGGCGGCGUGCUUAACACAUGCAAGUCUAACGGACAGUCUCUGCUUUUGUGGGUUGCUCGAGUGGCGAACGGGUGAGUAACACGUGAGUAACCUUCCCUUGACUUUGUGCUAACUUCACGAAACUGGUGCUAAUACCGGAUAUCAGCUCCUGCUGCAUUGUGGGGGUUGGAAAGUUUCCGCGGUUGGGGAUGGUCUCGCGGCUUAUCAGCUUCUUGGUGGGGUAGUGGCUUACCAAGGCUUCGACGGGUAGCCGGCCUGAGAGGGUGACCGGCCACAUUGGGACUGAGGUACGGCCCAGACUCGUACGGGGGGCAGCAGUGGGGAAUAUUGCACAAGGGGCGGAAGACUGAUGCAGCAACGCCGCGUGCGGGAUGACGGCCUUCGGGUUGUAAACCGCUUUCGCCUGUGACGAAGCGUGAGUGACGGUAAUGGGUAAAGAAGCACCGGCUAACUACGUG
rnacentral:rRNA from 1 species